rnacentral:rRNA from 1 species
UUGAACGCUGGCGGCAGGCCUAACACAUGCAAGUCGAGCGGAUGAAGGGAGCUUGCUCCUGGCUUCAGCGGCGGACGGGUGAGUAAUGCCUAGGAAUCUGCCUGGUAGUGGGGGAUAACGUCCGGAAACGGGCGCUAAUACCGCAUACGUCCUGAGGGAGAAAGUGGGGGAUCUUCGGACCUCACGCUAUCAGAUGAGCCUAGGUCGGAUUAGCUAGUUGGUGGGGUAAAGGCCUACCAAGGCGACGAUCCGUAACUGGUCUGAGAGGAUGAUCAGUCACACUGGAACUGAGACAUGGUCCAGACUCCUACGGGAGGCAGCAGUGGGGAAUAUUGGACAAUGGGCGAAAGCCUGAUCCAGCCAUGCCGCGUGUGUGAAGAAGGUCUUCGGAUUGUAAAGCACUUUAAGUUGGGAGGAAGGGCAGUAAGUUAAUACCUUGCUGUUUUGACGUUACCAACAGAAUAAGCACCGGCUAACUUCGUG